rnacentral:rRNA from 1 species
UACGAAGGGGGCAAGCGUUGCUCGGAUUUACUGGGCGUAAAGGGCGCGCAGGCGGCUCUUCAAGUCAGAUGUGAAAGCCCCGGGCUCAACCUGGGAACUGCAUUUGAGACUGAAGAACUCGAGUUCGGGAGAGGAUGGCGGAAUUCCCAGUGUAGAGGUGAAAUUCGUAGAUAUUGGGAAGAACACCGGUGGCGAAGGCGGCCAUCUGGACCGAGACUGACGCUGAGGCGCGAAAGCGUGGGGAGCAAACAGG